AAAGACUAAUUAACCAACGUAGGACAAUGUCUCUGUUGACUUGUCAACGUGACAAUGUCUAUAAAUGAGCUUCUUCUUUAGUAUUUGUUUUUUGUGUGAACAAGUUCUCUGCAUCUCACAUUAGACGUACCAUUGCAGAGAUAAUAUAUAGUCGAUUUUAUCAGAAACGAAGGAGAUUGAGGUUGUCCAAGAUGGGAUGUCUCUUUUCGAAACCCGGGAGCGAUGACAAUGGCGUAGGUGGCCGAGUUUCCUACAUGGGCGGCGGCGGCAUUGGAGGUGGAGGAUGUGGCGGCGGUGGAGGUGGAGGUGGAGGAUGUGGGGGCGGUGGAGGUGGAGGUGGUGGGUGUUGAUAUCGUAAGCUAUUUCGUAUGCUAUUAAUCAUCUAAUAUAUAGUUUCUUAUCAUCAUAUGUAUGCACUGUAUUUAUCCAAGUAUCAACUAUGGUGUAAAUAAGAUUUAGACGAAUAAGGGGCAAGUUUGAAAUGAGGUUACAGAGAUCGAUAUUAAUAUUUAUGAAUUUAUUGUAUCAUAUUUUAUGAUAUGUUGUCGUUUUUUUUUCUUAUUCAUUUGGAUAUUUCAUAUGUCUGCUGUACAUUCAUAAAUUUAUGUGCGAGUCCAUACAUUAGUAUAUGUUGUGUAACUUAUGAAAUUAAUAGACAAAACGUACAAACAUAUUAGACCAUUCAUACGAACUAAUAGAAUGAUAAAUUCACAAAUAUUUUCAUACGAAUUCAGAAAACGUAAGAGUAUAUAUGUGAUCUCAUCAACAAACAUCCAUACGAGUUAUUAGCACACAAAGUAGGGUGUUAAAAAGUGUUUUUUA
rnacentral:lncRNA from 1 species